rnacentral:rRNA from 1 species
AACUCGACCCCAGGUCAG